AUUGAACGCUGGCGGCAUGCCUUACACAUGCAAGUCGAACGGCAGCAUGAUCUAGCUUGCUAGAUUGACGGCGAGUGGCGAACGGGUGAGUAAUACAUCGGAACGUGCCCUGUAGUGGGGGAUAACUAGUCGAAAGAUUAGCUAAUACCGCAUACGACCUGAGGGUGAAAGUGGGGGACCGCAAGGCCUCAUGCUAUAGGAGCGGCCGAUGUCUGAUUAGCUAGUUGGUGAGGUAAAGGCUCACCAAGGCGACGAUCAGUAGCUGGUCUGAGAGGACGAUCAGCCACACUGGGACUGAGACACGGCCCAGACUCCUACGGGAGGCAGCAGUGGGGAAUUUUGGACAAUGGGGCAACCCCGAUCCAGCAAUGCCGCGUGUGUGAAGAAGGCCUUCGGGUUGUAAAGCACUUUUGUCCGGAAAGAAAUCGCACUUACUAAUAUUAGGUGUGGAUGACGGUACCGGAAGAAUAAGGACCGGCUAACUACGUGCCAGCAGCCGCAGUAAAAC
rnacentral:rRNA from 1 species